AUUGAACGCUGGCGGCAGGCCUAACACAUGCAAGUCGAACGGCAGCACAGAAGAGCUUGCUCUUUGGGUGGCGAGUGGCGGACGGGUGAGUAACACGUAGGAAUCUACCCAGUAGUGGGGGAUAACCUGGGGAAACCCAGGCUAAUACCGCAUACGCCCUGAGGGGGAAAGCGGGGGAUCUUCGGACCUCGCGCUAUUGGAUGAGCCUGCGUCGGAUUAGCUAGUUGGUGGGGUAAGGGCCCACCAAGGCGACGAUCUGUAGCUGGUCUGAGAGGAUGACCAGUCACACCGGAACUGAGACACGGUCCGGACUCCUACGGGAGGCAGCAGUGGGGAAUAUUGGACAAUGGGCGCAAGCCUGAUCCAGCCAUGCCGCGUGGGUGAAG
rnacentral:rRNA from 1 species